AAUAGAUACCCCGGUAGUCCACGCCGUAAACGAUGAGUGCUAAGUGUUAGGGGGUUUCCACCCCUUAGUGCUGCAGCUAACGCAUUAAGCACUCCGCCUGGGGAGUACGGUCGCAAGACUGAAACUCAAAGGAAUUGACGGGGGCCCGCACAAGCGGUGGAGCAUGUGGUUUAAUUCGAAGCAACGCGAAGAACCUUACCAGGUCUUGACAUCCCGCUGACCGCUAUGGAGACAUAGCCUUCCCUUCGGGGACAGCGGUGACAGGUGGUGCAUGGUUGUCGUCAGCUCGUGUCGUGAGAUGUUGGGUUAAGUCCCGCAACGAGCGCAACCCUUGUCCUUAGUUGCCAUCAUUCAGUUGGGCACUCUAAGGAGACUGCCGUACAAAUACGGAGGAAGGUGGGGAUGACGUCAAAUCAUCAUGCCCCUUAUGACCUGGGCUACACACGUGCUACAAUGGACGGUACAAACGGUCGCGAAGUCGCGAGACGGAGCCAAUCCGAAAAAACCGUUCUCAGUUCGGAUUGCAGGCUGCAACUCCG
rnacentral:rRNA from 1 species